UACGUAGGGGGCAAGCGUUGUCCGGAUUUAUUGGGCGUAAAGAGCGUGUAGGCGGCCAGGUAGGUCCGUUGUGAAAACUCGAGGCUUAACCUCGAGACGUCGAUGGAAACCAUCUGGCUAGAGUCCGGAAGAGGAGAGUGGAAUUCCUGGUGUAGCGGUGAAAUGCGCAGAUAUCAGGAAGAACACCAAUGGCGAAAGCAGCUCUCUGGGACGGUACUGACGCUGAGACGCGAAAGCGUGGGGAGCGAACAGG
rnacentral:rRNA from 1 species